GGGUGAGUAAUGUCUGGGAAACUGCCUGAUGGAGGGGGAUAACUACUGGAAACGGUAGCUAAUACCGCAUAACGUCGCAAGACCAAAGAGGGGGACCUUCGGGCCUCUUGCCAUCAGAUGUGCCCAGAUGGGAUUAGCUAGUAGGUGGGGUAAUGGCUCACCUAGGCGACGAUCCCUAGCUGGUCUGAGAGGAUGACCAGCCACACUGGAACUGAGACACGGUCCAGACUCCUACGGGAGGCAGCAGUGGGGAAUAUUGCACAAUGGGCGCAAGCCUGAUGCAGCCAUGCCGCGUGUGUGAAGAAGGCCUUCGGGUUGUAAAGCACUUUCAGCGAGGAGGAAGGUGGUGAACUUAAUACGUUCAUCAAUUGACGUUACUCGCAGAAGAAGCACCGGCUAACUCCGUGCCAGCAGCCGCGGUAAUACGGAGGGUGCAAGCGUUAAUCGGAAUUACUGGGCGUAAAGCGCACGCAGGCGGUUUGUUAAGUCAGAUGUGAAAUCCCCGGGCUCAACCUGGGAACUGCAUUUGAAACUGGCAAGCUAGAGUCUCGUAGAGGGGGGUAGAAUUCCAGGUGUAGCGGUGAAAUGCGUAGAGAUCUGGAGGAAUACCGGUGGCGAA
rnacentral:rRNA from 1 species